GUUCUGGGACAUGAAUACUCCAUUUGGAAUUACUAGAUUUUAAACCUCAUUACACUGAAUAAGAUCCCAAACGUGCCCGAGCCAGGGGUUUGAGAAAAGAGAGUCCAACUCCCCCUGGAAAACUGACACUUACAGGAUGAUGAUAUUCCCCAAGGCCUUGGUUUAUCUGAUCUCAAAACAUCUACAUAAAGGAACACACAAUGGGAGUGAUGUCCUCGCCAACCUAGUGCAACCACAUCUCAGUAGCCCACACUUCCAAGAUAUCAUUUGGAAAAUUACACAAGGAUGCAUCUCGUGCACUUGAAACAAUCCCAAGAUGGAAUGUAGCCGUCCUAAAAAGGGGAUAUAGUACAAAGGGCUGAGUCCCUUCAAA
rnacentral:lncRNA from 1 species